GCAUCCCGGCUCCAAAAUCACCACUGUUCAAUAAAAUAAAGCCUUCGCUCAAAAAUCUCAAUCUUCACUGUCAAUUCUUUCAUAGUUUUACAGUAUUUUUCCUAGAGCAGCCAAACACCAGUGCCUGCACUUAACAAGGCCAAAAGUCACUAGUUUUACAGUGCUUUUACAAGGUAACGCCAAUUCUGGCCCUGAAAGAGUGACAUCUGUUGUCUGGGAACGGAAUUAAAAUGUUUUACAACAUUAAUUCAUUUCCAGCUGGGCCAUCUGAAACUAAUAUAUUAACAAAGGCACACCAAGAAGAAAACAAUAGCUUAAAUAGCAACAAAGUUUCUCUUGUUUCAAUUAAUUACUUAGAUUCUAUUUGUUUGGUUUUUAUUUCAAAAAAAAAAAAAGAAAAGAAAAUGAUUCGCUCCUUUGGAUACAAAACCCAAUAAUAAAAUAUUAGAAUGAUAAAAAACAAAACAUCUCUGGAGAUUAAUCAAAGAAAGAUGAAGCAUCUCUAGAAAAACUUCAUAAAACUAGAAGGUAAGUGAUAAAAAUAGAGAAAAACAACUUCAAAAGGCCUGAAGUGCAGACAACCAGAGCAUAUAAUAAGUAAAAACAGCUUGCUUCACGGACAUAGCUGAUUUGCUCGUUGAACAGGGGGAAUCCAGUUAGUUCCAUUUAACAUCCAGGAUUUUCAAGCGAUGGAAACACUAGACUUGUCUUUCCCUGUCUUAAAUUUCAAGACAGAGCAACAAUACAGUCACUACUUAGUACAGAAGACGAGUCAUUUUAAUAAAUAGUACAGAGGAGAUUAAGAUUUUCGAUCUGACACCACUUAUAAGAAUAAAAAGAUGGAUCUUUUCCAUUUCUUUCAGGAAGAAGAACUGGAAUCAUUUGGUUAAGAGUUUCCCAAUCUGCUAGAAAACUGGAAAUCGCAGGCUACCGACACUGAAAAAUGAAAAACGAAUAUGUAUCUCAACAAAAGACACUUUAAGAGUAAAGAAUGAAAAUUUGCAAAAGUGAGAAAUACUAUGAAGCUAAACAAGACCUAAGUUAUCUCAAAAUAAAAGUUCCAAUUCCUAAACAUAAUUCAUCUCAAUCCCAGUAAGAUAUGAAGCUAACUAUUAUGAGUUUUUCAAUCUAUCAAGGAUUACCCAAAGGAAUUCCACUCAAAGCAAGAUUUUAAAAUAAAGCAAAGAGUUGCCUGUAGAUGGAUUAUAAUCAAAAAACAAAAUAAAAUGACCAUAUGCAAACUACUAUCAAGAAAAAUAAAAAGCUAAUGGCCACAGAGAUGAUAUUAAGCGAUCAAACUGACAGCACCAUAGUACAUUAGGAACCAGUCAAAAGGAAUGUCUAGGUAGAUUAUGAUCUACAUUACAGGGGUCAAACUUGCUGAUUUGGGAUCCAAUUUUUCGUUCUUGCCUUUGGUUGUUUUUCUUUGCUUAGCCGCAUGCUGGUACAUAUCCAACAAACCUGGAACUUUGUCCUUAUGCUUAGUAAUAUAUUCCUUCAAAAAUUUCUUUUCAGUCAUUGCUAUCACCCAAACAAUCUUCUUGUCAUCUUUGAUCAGCUUCAUCGCCUCCAAAACCUUCAAAACUUUAUACCUCGCAAUAAUCCUUUUAUCGACUGAAUAAUGAAGCAAUUUCGGGUAUGCAAUGAUAGUCUUUAAAUCCAGCUUCAUAGUAUUCACAUAAAAAUCCAUCAAAUACCUAAGUUUUUUCUCAGAACAAGUUAAACACACAGGAUCUUUCCUAAAAUUAUUCAACACUUCCUCCUUACUCCAUCCCAAACUCAUAAAAGCCUCCACUUUUUUCGUCCAAUUCGACUUGCUCAUCGAACAAAUCACCCUAAGAGCAUGUAUAAACCUAAGCUGUUUUGGUUCAAGACCUAUUUCUUUAACAGUUUUAACCGCGUAAACUAUUCUGUCAUGGCUUUGCAAGAGAGCUCUAGGCUGUGAUACCAACAAUUUCGAUAUCCUACUAGCAGAAAUCCCUUCUCUAAUCAGAAAAUCAACAUUUGGUUGUAAAACAGUAUUCCAAUUUAAAGUCACUAACCACGAAGAUCGUUUAAUAGCAACCAACAGUUCCUCACCAUUCAGAAAAGGGGAUAAAAACUCAAAAGAUGACUUGAUAAGAGAAUCCAAGCUUCGAAGGAGAAUCAAAGGAUUCGACACAACGAGUUCAGGCAAAAGCUUACCCAUAAAACCCUUUUGGAUGAGAUAUUCAAGCUUGGGCUUGAGCUUUGUGUUAACUCUGCAAUUGAGGAUUUUAGGGUGUUUUUGAACCAAUAUGGCGAUUUGGGUAUUCUCGAAUCCAUAAGAUUUCAAACAGUUGAGGACGGACUUGGAAUUUGGAGAGCUUUUUGGGAAGGGUGAAAGAGCGGAUUUUAAAGGAGGCGGUUUUGAAGCAGAAGAAGGGGCUGGGUUCCGUUGAAGGAAGCGUUUUUGGGUUAGAGAGAGCAGAUUUCUCAGAGGGAUUUUAGCCAUUUUUUGUUGAGUUUAAGCAGCCGCAGAAGGAACUCCCCAAACCACAAGAAAUCGAAAUCCAGGGUUUUUCUGAAAUUGGAAAAACCAACCCGCCGUAACCCGACUAAUUUCAAAACCCGACCCAGUUUGAUUUACCCACAAGAAUCGGCAACUUAAAUGUUAUUUUUUAUUGAAAAAUGUUUUACCAUAUUCAAGUCGAACUUAAGAAAACAGGGGAUUUAAAAUAUAUAAUAAGAAUAUUAACAUUUUGAUCUAAUAAAAAAACUACUCAAAAGAAAAUUACCGAAUUUGAAUUUGAUAAUAAGAAAAUUAAAAUUACUGUAUUACCUUUAUUAAUCAAAUAAAAAAAAUAAAGUCUCUUUAUUUUUUCUUACUUCUCUAACGUGAAAAUUUCUUUCUCUUAAGAACAUAAACAUUUUACGUCCGUUUAUCUUUCUUACCUUUUGUCCAUCCUCUUCCUUUACUCUUCGUCCAAUUUAUUUAUUUUGCUUUUCAAUUUCCUUCUCUUUUCAACUGUUCUAUCUAUACAAGAUUGAAAUUGAAGGGUUUAAAGUUUUUGUUUUCAUCAAUUUUUCUCUAUUUAAAUUGCAUCAGCUUAUUAAAGUUAGUGUCUCUUUCCUCUGUCUUUUAUAUCACUCUUCAUUAUGUGUAUUUGAUUUUAUUGUUAAAUUAUUAUUUAUGUUGAUUCUGCAAAUGGAUUUGAAAAAUAUCAUGAUUUUAAUUGUUUUAUGUUAAAUUAUUAUUUAUAUUAUUUUCAAUGGUUUUAGAUAUCAUAUUUAGAAUGAUCUUUUUGAUAUAUUAGUUUCAACGGUGUUUUUAUGUUUUUAAUAACUUUUUAAAAGAAAAAGAAAUUACAAAUAAAAAAAGGACAAAAUAAUAAAAAGGCAAGUGUGCAUAUUUGGCUUGGUUUUUUGAUAAAGUUGUUCUCAAUUAAUUAGAAAAUAAAUAAAAGGUAAAUAUUUAUAAUUUAUAAGGUGUAGAUUUUGAAGACAAGUGAUAUGUAUAUAUUGAAUUAGGAUAUGUAUGUUAUGUUUUUAGGAUAUGGACGUUUAGAGAGGAAGAUAUGUAUAUAUUGCCUUUUGGCUAACGGCAACCAACCUUACUAUCCCAAACAUAUCAGCAACUCAAUUCACAAAAACCCACUCAUACUUCCAAUUGAGACCCCAAACCCAAACUCUAUCAUCAGUACACCAAAUUGCCAUUACACCCUUUAGGCUCUAUCAUAAAAGCCCUUCCUACCACCGUGAGUCAACUUAUCAUAAAAUAAAUCAUCACUCACAACUUUUAUAGCCCCAACCUAUUGACUCAAAACAUCCUCGAAUACCCUAACAUAAAUAAACCCAGCACAAUCAUUACAUAACAAAAAAAAUUAAAACCAAAAUAACAACAACAAAAAAUAUGAAACAACAACAAAAAUAUCAAAAUCUAAAAAUGGGAAUGGGUUAUAAGUUUAGGUUUAUUUUCGAUUUUGAAAGAGUUUCAUUUUAGGAGGGUUCUUUUUAAGUUUAGGUUAGAAAAAAAAUAAGAAGAAAUGCCACUAUCAGUGACAACAAGGAUGGCAGUUGAAUAUGUAAGGUGAGUUUAGGGAAAUCAAAACUAUAGAAAGGAAGAAGAGGAAGAAAAUAGUACCUAUCUAGGUUUCAGGCAAUUUGGACAAUGGCAAAUGAUAUUUUUAACCACUAGAAGUUUUAAGUUUCACUCUCAAAUCUACGGUUUUGAGAGUUGAUUUUGGAAAAUUCGAUCUUGCAAUGGUGAUCAGAAAGUUAAAGAGAGCUUGUAGUGAAAAUUUGGGAAAAAAUGACAUUGGACGGUGGUGUCGAUGAUCGAAAAUCGUCUUAAAAGAAAGGCUUUAAAUUUUUUUAUUUUGGUGAAAGUAGGGAAAUGAAUAGGCAAAAAAUGUUGGUUUUAAUUGUCGUUUUAAGAAAAUAAAAAAUAUAUAAAUUAAAAAAAAAACUCUUGACCCAUUUUCAACCGACCUAACCCAAAUUGAGCUUGACUUAAAAGUCCAUUAGAUUUGGCCAAACCUCUUGCUUUGAUCCACCUAGAGUUUAACCCCAAGAAAUUUGUUUAGUACAAUCUUUUCCUAUUUUAUUUUACUUUGUUAUCAUACAUUUUUAAUUUUUAUUUAGUAUCAAAUAUUUUUUAAAAUAAAUUUGUUGUGGAUGACUAAGGAAAGAGGUUUUAGAAAUAAAAAUAAAAUAAUAUUUUCAUGUAAAAAUAUAAUUUUAAAAAUCCUAUCUAAAUAUUGAAGAUAAUUCAAAUAAUUAUUUUUGCAAAAGAAUCUUGUCUUUUGUUUUAAAAAAUAUUUAUGUGAAUCACUCAAGUGAAAGAUCAAGUUUUUUUUUAAUUUUACCUAGAUAUUGAGGAGUUAGAAAAUAUAAAUGAAAAUAUUUCUAAUACCAAAAAUAUCAUUUUCAUCCAAGUAAAACCUAUUUAGAAAAUAAUAUAAUUACAUGCAUCAUUUAAUUCAUGUCAUAUUGUCAUAUAUGCAUUUUAUGUAUGAAUAAAAAGAACACAUAAUCAUUGGAAUUGUGUCACAACAUUACUAAAUAAUAUUUUGAUGAGACAAUGAAGUCACAUAAAUUGUUUUGAUUCAAAGAUCUAAAAUCUAUAAUUCAAUUUGACUAACUCAAUAACAAUUUUAUCACUAAAGUGGAGAUUUUAAAAUCAUAUCAUAUAAUAUUUUCAUCUAUAUAAAGAUUUUUUAAAAUAUCAAAACUUGCCCAAUUUUGAAAAUAGGUGAGGGAACAUUGGAAAUUAUUUUCAAAAUAAUAAAACUGAGUUUAAGCAAUACACUUAAUUAAAGAUAUAAGAAAUCAAGUAGAACAAAGCUAGAAUUGAGCUUUGUUAAGGGGAAGACGACUGCCCAUACAGAGGAGUUGAUUGCCGUAGCUUUCAAGGAAAUAAAAAAUCAUUUUGUUAUAAAAAUACUCUUGGGCAUUCCACAACCUUAUCAGCAAAGAGUGUUUUAUUAUAAAAUUAUACUAAGGCAAUCGGAUGCCAUUAUAUGGGAGUCGACUACCCUAGUUUAAAAAGUCAUAUUUUUUAAACGUAAGAAAUGAUUUCUUUUAAAAUGAAAAGUAUGAUUAUUCAAAUGAACUAAUAUGUCCCAUAAUUGUUAAAAAAAGUAUCUUUGACGUGCUUUUUUAUUGAAACAACACAACCAAAUAGACACAAUCUUUGAAUUUAAUCUCUAUAAAUAAAAAUUGUAAGUGUUCAUUUGAGAAGUUGAUGGAAAGAGUUCAUAGGAUUGAAUAAUCAAAUAUUCUUUUAUCUUUCCUCCAUGCUUUCAAGACAAAGGAUUAUUUAUUUGACAUUAUUUUAUUGCAAGAAAUCUUGUCAAAGACAAAAUAUUUGUCUCUCAUCAAGGAGAUUUUAAUAAUUUGAAUUUUUUAGUACAAAGUAGAUUAAACAUUAACCUCAUUAUUGUAUCUUAGAGAUUAUUCGAUACAAUUUAUUUUGCAAAUUGUAAUUGAUAGGGAUGAAAUAAAUUUUUAAGAAAAGUGACAUUUACAACACACCUUGAAGUCAGUUCAUAUAUUCUUUGGAAGUUUCAUUUUAAAAUCAACCAAGGCUUGAAAAGAAAGAUUACAACAGAAAAUACAUAUGAAAAAUUAUCAUCAACUUUAAAAUUCAUAAUUUGCAAGUCUUGGAACUAACAUGCCCGCCCUUGGGAAUAUGGAAUAUUUUGUAACAGCAAGGGUUUCAUUAGACUAAUAUAAAAGUUUUUUUAGUCUAAUUAUGUCCAAUAAAAUAUCGAGAGCUUAUUUUUAUUUUAGAGAUAUUUUAGGGUUUAUUUUAUUACUAUUCCUUUAUAUUAUAUUAUUUACUUUUCAAUUUUAUCUUUUCUUCUACAUUUCAUCAAUGUAUUUUUGUUGGCACUUUUCUAUAUGAGUGCUAGUUAAUAAAAAAAAUAUGUAAACUAAUUUAUAUCUUAGGAUAUAUAACAAUAUUAUAUUUUUUUGAGAAAUUACUAUCAUAAUUAAAUAUUACAUUUAUAUAAUCAAUUAAAUAAUCAAUUAUUACAUCAUAAUUAAGUUACAAUAAUUUUAUAAUCAAGUAACAAACUAGAAGAUAACUAAACAAACCAAUCAAACUCACAUAAAGUGAAACUUAAAACUAAGACCUCAAAAUUUUAGAACCUUUUCCUAACAAUAUUUUUUAUAAAUUAUAAAAAAUUAUAAAAAAUCUAAUUUCAUAACCAACGACCAAUCACUAAUAAAUAACAAAAAUAAUUAUGAGUCAUAAUUCAAAAGAUUAUAAAAAAUAAAAAAUUUCUUAUAGUAACUUUGUUUUAUGAAAGAAUAACUACAAAGUGCCAUUAAAUUGAAAACAAGGAAAAGUAGAGGAAAAUAAACUAGAAGAAAAGGGAAAGAUAACAGGGUAAAAAAAAGGAAAAAAGAAAGAAAUAGAAAAAAAUUGUAAAAUAUAUUUAUUUUUAGAAAAUGUAAGAUUGAAUACAAAAACAUGGGUUUAAAAUAUAUUUAAAAAGGAGUAUAAAGUGUUAAAAAAAAUGAAAUAGUUUUAAAGUAUCCAAAACAAAAAAAAAUCCAAACAAAGUAAUGAAAAAAACACAUGGGUGUUACCCAAAAUGUAAAUAAAUAAUGCUUUACAGAUAAUUAAGGUUCAAUGUUGUUCAUUCUUGGACAUAAAGUAAUAAAAUUGAUGACAAUUUAUCAUUUAUAUUAACAGAAUAUUUAAUAAAACAUUUCAAAUCCAUUAUUUUUCAUUAUAAAAUCAAUGAAAUUAAAAAUACAGUGAAAAUUUGUCAUUUUUAUUAACAUAAUAUUUUGUGAAAUAUUUCGAUUCCAAUACUCUUUGUUAAAAAAUCAAUAAAUUUAAAAGUAUUGUAAGAAAAUUUCAAUAAUUAAAAUAUACUUACAAAUUUCCAUAUUUUUUUUGACACAUAUGAAAAAAAAAGAUUAAUAGGAUUCGAACCCAAACCUUACAUAUCUUCUUAAGCCUUCUUAACUACUAAUCCAAAAAGUUGGAUGGUAAAUUUCAAUAUUGAAUCAUAGUCUAGUUCGAGUAGCAUCACAGUACCAAUAUCACAACCGUUCAAUAAAAUAAAGACUUUGAUAAAAAGUCUCAAUCUUCACUGUCAACUCUUUCAUAGUUUUACAGUCCCCAAACACUAGUUCCUGCACUUAACAAUGACAAAAGUCACUAGUUUUACAGUAUUUUUACAAUUUAAUGCCAAUUCUGGCCCUAAAAGAGUGACAUCUGUGACCACUGAAGAGUUGGCCUCUCUUGUCUGGGAACUGAAUUAAAAUGUUUUACAACAUUAAUUCAUUUUCAGUUAGGCCAGCUGAAACUCAUUCUAACAAAUGCAUACCCAGAAGAAAAGAAAGAUUUUUGCAAAAGAAUAUUGUCUUAGUUUUAGAAAAUAUUUAUUUGAAUUGCUCAAGAGAAAGAUCAAGUUUUUUUAGUUUUACCUAGAUAUUGAGGAGUUAAAAAAUAUAAAUGAAAAUAUUUCUAAUACUAAAAAUAUCAUUUUCGUCCUAAAUAAAAUCUAUUUAGAAAAAAAUAUAAUUACAUGCAUCAUUUAAUUCAUUUCAUAUUGUCAUAUAUGCAUUUUAUGUAUUAAUAAUAAAUUAAUAAUAAAUCUGAAAUGGUAAAAUGACAAUUUCAACAAAAUUUAUUUUAGAAAAAAUAGAAUAAUAAUUUUAAGAAAAUGAUUUUGAAGAUCCUACCUUGAUGUUAGAGAAAAUUCAAAUCAUUAUUUAUACUAAAGAAUAUCAUUUUUAUUUUUAUCAAAAUUAAUUAUAAAAAUUUUAUAUUCCUCUAUUUAGAUAAAAAUUAAAUAUGAUAUAAAAUAAUUAUUAUCUUAUACUAUUAAUAAUUUUAUUUGUCAAACAUUCCCUACGACGGAUGCACGGCACAAUUACGACCAAAAAGUGCCCCAAUGGCACCAGGUCAUGACUUCGUCUGGAUCCAAAUGGGUCUGAAUCAAUAUGAAACCCAUGUUUAGGUUGAAAGUUUUAGGGAAAAAAAAAGUAAUUAACUAAUUCAACUUUUGUAGUGGCACUUAGGCACCAUGUGGUUGUAGUGAAUGGCCUAGUGUCACGGACUAAGCUUUCUCUCAACAAGCACUAGCCCGUGCGGCACUUGAAUGGACGCUUCCACCCAAGUCAACCUUCAAUAGAUCGAUAUCUGAACAAAUAACCAUAAACCUUGGUUAGUCUCAAGCAUUCACAAUAAGACACAAUAUAUCGAGGUCAAUCUCAAGCAUACACACACAACAAAGCACAUUCACAUCGAGAAACAAAGAAACGCAUCGAGGCAACAAUCGGGCAUUCAAUCGAAGAAUUUUAUUAUAAACGGGAAUCAUACAUCGGGACCUCCCACCAUCACCAGGGCCAGGGGGGCAGCCCUUGGUGGGUGGCCUAAGCUCACAUAGCACCCGGUGAGACAGCCCAACACUACGCUGCCGGCUCACCCCCCUUAAAGAGCCUUAGAGCUUUUAGAGCUAUGCUACCAGUAACCGUUACAAUGUUUGAAAUGGAGACACUUUUCCUGACACAAGGGAUCUACCCGGCCAUGGCCCUAUACAUAGGUGGCUCAUGGCAACCUAAGUCCCGGUCAUGGCCCUAUACAGGGGUGGCUCAUGACAUCCUCCCCCACCUAUUCUAUCGACGUCCUCGUCGACUUGCUGGCUUGAAAUUCUUCAAUCUUUCUUUGAAAUCUCUGGAGGUCGUGUGCUCUUUCCCAGCUGGUUUCUUCUAGUCCUAAGCCCUCCUACUUCACAAGUAUUCUCGAACUAGUCUUCGAGAUAUCUUGAUUUCCCUGUCGGCUAAGAUUUUUUCGACUCGACGCUCUGAAGGUGGCUUCAUGGUGAUGACGGCUCUGGUUGGCUCCCUUCGGCUAAUAUCUGUAGGAUCUGCAUGAAAAGGCUUCAGGUUGCUUACAUGAAAUACUGGGUGCACCUUCAUCCACUUCGGUGGGUCGAUUUUGUAAGAAGCAUUCCCCACCUUGAAAAUGACUCUUACUAGACCUUCAUAUUUGCGUACCAGUCUACGAUCUCUCUUUCUUAAGAACUUGGUUUGUUCAGGAACUAGUCGGACCAAAACCAAAUCACCAACUUGGAAUUGCUGAGCUCUGCGAUUCUUGUCUGCCCAUUUCUUCAUCCGCUUUGAGGCCUUCUCCAAGUAAGCUUGUGCAAUCUCUGUGUUUUAUUUUCACUCCUUGCUGAGGUUGAAAGCUCUCGAAUUCUUUUCUCCAUAUUGUUUCAAGGAAGUGUGGGGUAACCUUGGUAGUUGUCCCGUGACCACCUCAAAUGGACUCUUGUUAGUGAAAGCUUUUGUUGGAAUUAAAGCAGAGUUGAGCAACGUCCAACAAUGAGGGCCAGUCCUUUUGGUUGGCUUGGACAAAGUGCCUCAAAUAUUCCUCCAACAAUCCAUUGAAACGUUUCGUUUGGCCAUCGGUCUGAGGAUGGUAGCUCGAAGAGAUGUUGAGUUGGGACCCCAAAAUCUUGAAAAGUUCCCUCCAAAAGGACCCCGUGAAUCUCGGAUCUUUAUCGCUGACGAUGUUUUGAGGGAGGCCCCAAUAUUUAACCACAUGUUUGAACAAUAGUCGAGCUGUCUUCUGCUGUGCAAUACUUGUGAGCGGGGAUGAACGUGACAUACUUGGAAAACCGAUCAAUUACCACCAAGAUAGUUCCAAGAUCACCAACCUUGGGUAGGCUCAAAAUGAAAUCGAGGGAGAUGCUUUCCCAUGGUUUGGUGGGUACCGAUAAUGGUUCCAGCAUGCCCGCAGGUUUCCUCUUUUCGACUUUGUCUUAUUGGCAAAUGAGGCAAGUCUUCGUGUAGUCCAUCACAUCUUAUCACAUGUGAGGCCAAUAGUAUCCCUGUUUCAGUAACGCUAAAGUACGUUGCCAGCCUGGGUGUCCCGCCCAUGGGGUGUCAUGGCAUUCCCUCAUCAGCAUCUGUCUCAGCCCUCCUGCUUUUGGCACAAACACUCGAGGCCCCUUGGUCCACAAGACUUCAUUUUCUUGCCAGAAGUAUUUGGACUUCCCUUCUUCCACUAGCUUCAAGAUGGCACAGGCUUGCGGGUCUUUCAUUAGAUGAUCUCCAAUCAACUUGUGAAUGUCCGUAGUGGCUUUACUAGUUGCCAUUGGGGCCAUUCUUCUGAGGGCCGCCAACUCUGGUCGCCUGCUCAAUGCAUCCGCCACUUGAUUGGUCUUUCCAGCGAUAUGCUCAAAAUGAAAGUCAAAUUUCGCUAAAAAUUCCUGCCACCUAGCUUGUUUCGCCGUAAGCCUUGGUUGUGUGAGAAAAUGACUAACAGCUGCAUUGUCCGUCUUCACGACAAAGUGUGAACCCAACAAGUAAUGUCGCCAAGCCCUCAAGCAAUGAACCACCGCCAGGAGUUCUUUUUCCUGGGCCGUAUAUUUCCUCUCCGCUUCGCUUAGCUUCCUACUUUCAAAUGCUAUUGGGUGAUGUUGUUGUAAAAGCACACCUCCAAUAGCAAAAUCAGAUGCAUCCGUCUGAACUUUAAAAAGCUUUUCAAUAUCGGAGAGAGCUAAGAUGGGAUCCUUCAUAAUAGCAUCUUUCAAUCUCUCAAAGGCCUCUUGGCACUCGUUGGUCCAACACCAUUUAUGCUCCUUCUUCAAUAACUCCGUGAGGGCCGUGGUCUUGCGAGAGUACCCUUUCACAAAUCUUUUAUAGUAGUUGACUAGUCUCAAAAAUGAACGAAGCUCACUAACAUUCUUUGGUGUUGUCCACUCCUUGAUGGCCCUAACCUUUUCCAUGUCCAUUCGAAUGUGGCCACGUUCGACAAUGUGACCGAGGAAGUGGAUUUGGGUCUGAGCAAACGCGCAUUUCUCCUUUUUUACAUAUAACCGGUGGUCCUGCAGCCUUUUAAAUACCUGACAUAGGUGUUCUUGAUGUUCUUCCAAGGUGGAGCUGUACACCACUAUAUCAUCUAAAUAAAUGACUACAAAUUUGUCAAGGUAGUCAUGGAACACCUGAUUCAUCAAUGUACAAAAUGUGGCAGGAGCAUUGGUUAGUCCAAAAGGCAUAACAAGAAAUUCAAAUGCGCCAUACCGUGUUACACAAGUGGUCUUUGGCUCAUCUCCCUCAACGAUUCUGACCUGAUGGUAUCCAGAUCUCAGGUCUAGUUUGGAGAAGUACUUGACCCGACUCAAUUGAUCAAACAAGUCUGCUAUAAGUGGGAUAGGAUAUUUGUUUCUUACGGUGACUUUGUUCAGGGCCCUGUAGUCAACACAUAAGCGCAAACUCCCAUCGUGCUUUUUCUGGAAUAGCACUGGCGCUCCGAAAGGAGCCUUUGACGGUCGAAUGAACCCGGCUUGUAGAAGCUCAUCUAACUGUUUUCUCAGCUCGGUCAACUCUGACGGGGCCAUGCGAUAGGGAGCUCUAGCAGGGGGUUUUGUUCCUGGGAGGAGCUCAAUUUCGUGGUCCACUACUCGUCGAGAGGGUAGAACUUUAGGCAACAUCUCUGGCAUCACCUCUUCGAAUUCUUUCAACACUCUCUUCACACCAUCGGGUAUUGGUUCUACUUUCGACCCUUCUUUGUAGAUCGGCAUGGCCACAAAAGAAGGUUCCCCUCUCUUUACCCCUUUCUUGAAUUGCAGAGUCGAAAUUAUUUUCUUCCCACUCUUUGGCAAGAUAUUGGCUGGCACCACACAUGGGUGUUCCCCUAAAAACAACAAGCAGCUAGCAGCGGGGAUAGGGAUCACCUGAGCCAACAUCAUGAAGUCCAAUCCGAGAACGACAUCAAAGUCAUCCAUAGGGGAGACUGUGAAGUCUACCUUCCCUUCCCAUGGCCCUAAUUUAGUUGUCACACCCUUGGAAGAUCCACUGAUCGCAAAGGCCGACGAAUUGACCGCCUUCAUUCGUCCAUAAUCUUUGUUAACCUGGAGGCCACACAUUUUCGCUUCUUCUGGUGUGAUGAAAGUAUCGGUUGCACCUGUAUCGACCAUGGCCUUGGUGGCCUUCUCAUUGAUCAUUAGAUUCACAUACAUCAAGCCCCUACUUUGCUCUUUCCUUAUAGUGUUCACUUGGGUAUGAAGGGCAUUGAGGAACCUUAUUGAGCCCAUCCUGGCUGGUUCCUCUUCGAUCUCUUCCACGCUCUCCGAUGCUUUUGCAGACUCUUGAAAUGAGGUCCUUAAAGCGUUAAGGGCUCAUCUAUAAGGGCAUUCGGCCACCCGAUGCGGCCCAUUGCAAAGAAAGCAAGCUAGCAGUUGCCUAGGCCUGAAAGUCACAGCACUGUUUGUUUUGGGUUGGGUGCUAUCUCGAUCGAAAGGCCUUCUAUCUGAUCCCCCACUGAAGGGACGGUCCAAUCUGGUCAUCUUCCCCCCACUCCCAAAGUUGAAGCUACUACCAGCUGGUGAAAGAUUUUUCUGUUUUAAGGAGCCAUCGUUAUAGUCUUGGAGACGUUCAGCUGCAGCCAUGGCCAUGGCCACGUCUUGCACUUUUUGUCUUUGUAGUUCUGCUCUGGCCCAAGGCUUGAGGCCCUCAAGAAAAUAAAACAUCUUGUCCUUCUCGAACAUGUCUCGGAUAUCCAGCAUCAGGGUAGAGAAGCUCCUCACAAACUCUCGCAUUGUCCCUGUUUGUACCAACUCUCGAAGUCUCUUUCGAGCCAUAUACUCCACGUUCUCAGGGAAAAACUGGUUUUUCAGUUCCUGCCUCAGGUCCGUCCAAGUUUUAAUCGAGCACUCAUCAUUGACAAACUUGGAACGCCACCACAGCUUGGCAUCCCCUGCAAGGUACAUCGAUGCCAUUGUUACCUUGUCUUCUUCUGAAUCCGUGUGCACCGCCCGAAAGUACUGCUCCAUGUCAAACAAGAAAUUUUCAAGUUCCUUGGCAUCCCUUGCCCCCUCAUAACAUCGAGGCUCCGGCACCUUAGGCAUUCUCCCCCUAUCCAUCGAGCUCGAACCUGACCUGACCACAGCCAGUUGUAAGAUGCUCACCUGUGCUUUGAGCUCUUCAAACUCCUUCUGGAGAAUAUUCAAGGCAUCUCUAGCCUCCUCGCUCACAUUGUGGAGAGUAUCGGACAACUCCCGCUGGGUUGUCUCGAUCUCCCUCACUCGAUCUUUAGUUGCCAUGUGAGUUUUCAUUGCGGCCACCGCGGCCUCAAGUUCUUCGAUUCUCUGUUGAUGAUCAGGUCCACCACUUGUGGCCAUCUCAUCCAUUUUCUAGCACUUCUCAACCGUGCUCUGAUACCACGUGUCACGGACUAAGCUUUCUCUCAACAAGCACUAGCCCGUGCGGCACUUGAAUGGACGCUUCCACCGAAGUCAGCCUUCAAUAUAUCGAUAUCUGAACAAAUAACCAUAAACCUUGGUUAGUCUCAAGCAUUCACAAUAAGACACAAUAUAUCGAGGACAAUCUCAAGCAUACACACACAACAAAGUACAUUCACAUUGAGAAACAAAGAAACGCAUCGAGGCAACAAUCGGGCAUUCAAUCGAGGAAUUUUAUUAUAAACGGGAAUCAUACAUCGGGACCUCCCACCAUCACCAGGGCUAGGGGGCAGCCCUUGGUGGGUGGCCUAAGCUCGCAUAGCACCCGGUGAGAUAGCUCAACACUACGUUGCCGGCUCACCCCCCCCUAAAGAACCUUAGAGCUUUUAGAGCUAUGCUACCAGUAACCGUUACAAUGUUUGAAAUGGAGACACUUUUCCUAGCACAAGGGAUCUACUCGACCAUGGCCCUAUACAUGGGUGGCUCAUGGCAACCUAAGUCCCGGUCAUGGCCCUAUACAGGGGUGGCUCAUGACACCUAGCCUGGUCUCGUCUGGUCUAGUUUGGCUAGCAUCCCGGCUCCAAAAUCACCAUUGUUCAAUAAAAUAAAGCCUUGGCUCAAAAAUCUCAAUCUUCACUGUCAAUUCUUUCAUAGUUUUACAGUAUUUUUCCUAGAGCAGCCAAACACCAAUGCCUGCGCUUAGCAAGGCCAAAGGUCACUAGUUUUACAGUGCUUUUACAAGGGAACGCCAAUUCUGGCCCUGAAAGAUUGACAUCUGUUGUCUGGGAACGGAAUUAAAAUGUUUUACAACAUUAAUUCAUUUCCAGCUGGGCCAUCUGAAACUAAUAUAUUAACAAAGGCACACCAAGAAGAAAACAAUAGCUUAAAUAGCAACAAAGUUUCUCUUGUUUCAGAUUAAUUACCUUAGAUUUCUAUUUGUUUUGGUUUUUAUUUCAAAAAAAAAAAAAAGAAAAGAAAAUGAUUCGCUCCCUUGGAUACAAAACCCAUAAUAGAAUAUUUAGAAUGAUAAAAACAAAACAUCUCUGGAGUUAAUCAAAGAGAAGAUGAAGCAUCUCUAGAAAAACUUCAUUAAAACUAUUAAGGUAAGUGGAUAAAAAUAGAAGAAAAACAACUUCAAAGGCCUGAAGUGCAGACAACCAGAGCAUAAUAAUAAGUUAAAAACAGCUUGCUUCACGGACAUAGCUGAUUUGCUCGUUGAACAGGGGGAAUCCGAGUUAGUUCAUUUAACAUCCAGGAUUUUCAAGCGAUGGAAACACUAGACUUGUCUUUCCCUGUCUUAAAUUUCAAGACAGAGCAACAAUACAGUCACUAGCUUAGUACAGAAGACGAGUCAUUUUAAUAAAU
rnacentral:lncRNA from 1 species